ensembl:lincRNA
GUGGAAAGCAAUCCCGGAAACCCCGACGUUCGGCGGCCCUUGGAGGGAAGCAGGGCCGCAAGGUUGGUGGGGCAGACCCUUUCGUACCCGGGCGGGCGCGGGGCAUGCUGGGAGUUGUAGUUCGGUGUUGGUUUAGGGUUUUGGGCGUGGAGGCUCCAAAGUCUAGGUUUGACUUCAGCCUGCCCCUGAUAGAUAGUUCCUGGGCCGCAGGUGAGCCGUUAUUGACUGCCGUUAAGGACCGUUACUAUUCUCGGACAUACAGAGAUUGAAUGAACACUAAUGAAGCAUGACCAAGGAAGAGGGAUUAUAGGGAAGAAGGUAAAACAAUCCCAACUCUCUGAGCUUAUCACAUGAGAAUGGUGGAACUCUUCCUUCUGGCCCUGCUGGUUCGUUCUCCCACCCAUUCUGGCAGGAACAUCAUAAGAAGAUAGUAGGUAGUGAGGUACAGCAGGGCUCAGAAGGGUGGCUGGGGAACAUGCCCAUGAAGCUUUAGCUUACAGAUUCUGAAAUUUUCUCCUAGUUGUGAAUACCUCCAUUAUCUCUUCAUGAUUGUUAUUGGAGGCAGCAGAGUAUAGUGGUUAGGAGUAUAGGCUCCAGAAAGUGACUCCCUGGGUUCUAAGUCCUGGCUGUGUAUCUCUGAUUAAUUAAUGGUUUCAAUGUCAUAUAUAUUCAAUAUCAGGGUACAGUGGCACAUGCCUGUAAUCCUGGUGCCUCAGGAGGCUGAGCAAAGGGGACUGCAAAUUUGAGGCCAGCCUGGGCAACUUAGCAAGACCCUGUCUCAAAAUAAAAAGGGCUGGGUGUGUAGCUCAGUGGUAUAACACCCCUGGGUUAAAUUCCUAGUGCCACUUAAGAGCCGGGGAGGCUGAGAAUGUAGCUCAGUGGUAGAAGUGGGUUUGAUCCCUAGAACCACAAAUAAAGAAAAGGAAAGCAGGAAGGAAGGAAUAGUUGCUCAUAGUGUCCAUUAUUGAUUGAAGUCCUUGAUAUCCUCCCAGCAUAUCAGAGAUAACCCUUUCUUGUAGGCAUAGGAAGGAUGAGCCAGGUUGUGAUUCAUACGUUCUAUAUCUUAGAGCACUCAUGACAUGUUAGGUUCCAUGGCCAGAACUGGAGAAUCAGGCAUAGGAUAACAGUUCCUGCCCUGGGUUCACUCCACAAAUUCGUAGGUAUCCAGACUAAUAGUUACAGUGCAGUACAUAAGGGAACGUGGAUUCCAGCAGGAGCCCAGAAGAGGGUUCCCUAACCUGAGGAAAUGACAGCUGAGCUGAGUUUUCCAGGGAAAGCAUACAGGUAGAUGUUCUAGACAGAAGAUGUGAAAGUGCAGAUGCCUGAGAGAAAGGUAUUUUUGAGGUACCACAAUGAGAAUGAUGAGACUGGAGGUUGGAGUGUGAGGAGCAUUUCGGGAAGUUGAGAUUCAAGAAGCAAGCAGGAGUUGGGACAUGGGACAGGAGUUUGGCCUUCAUCCCAAAGACUUGGAGGCCACUGAUGGAUUUUUAGCUGGGGAGAAAUAGGAUAAAAUUUUUGUUGGCUAAAGGUCAUACUGGGCAGCAGCCUGCCCGUUUAAGGCAAGAGCAUUUUUUUUGCUGUGAAGAAUGAGGGCCAGUGGAUUCAGUGUGCAAUAAAGGAUAGGAAAAUGGCCUUUUGCAUUUUCUUCUCUCCCCUGGAUCUUGUCAUCAAGAAGGCACUCCUUGUUUCCUGAGAUACCCGGACACCUAGGCCUGUAACACAGUGGGCCCAGCGUUUUUGAUGCUGUGGUUUUAAGAGUGUGUCAGGCAUUUCCUGCCCAAAAGGCACUUAAGGUAAAAUCAGAAAGACCAGAUGCACUUAAAAAUAAAAUAACAGGGGCUGGGGAUAUAGCUCAGUGCCACAGCUCUUGCUACCAUGUGACAGCCUUGGGCUUGAUCCCUGGUACCAUCAAAAUAAAAAAAUUGAGAAGGUAAGUGAAGUUGAGGGUGGGAGUGCAUAUCUUUGGGGCAGGGUUGUAGCGAGGGUAAGAUUCCUGAAGACAGCAGACUUUGAGGUUGGCUUUGAAGCUGUUUGAGCUCUGGAUUCUUCAUUAUAGUUUCUGAAGGCCCAAUGAACUCCCUCCUGAAUUUAAGUCAGAAUUGUAGCCUUACUUUUGUUUGUGUGGUUAUUAGGUUUGUGACCAUUUCCCUCCACAAACCCUUAGGUUUUAUGAGGUUGGAUUUUCCUCACCUCUGUAUCCAUUGGGCCAGCACACAGUAAACCUUCAAUUAAUAUUUUCUGGAUAAGGUUGGCGGUAUAACUCAGUGGUAGAGCCCUCCCUAGCAUGUUUGAGGCCCUGGGUUGGAUCCCCAGCACUGUGUGAAAAAGAAAAAAAUUGUUGGAUUAAUUAACGUGUGAGUGAGCAAAUGAGAAAAUGGUGAGAAAGAAGGAAUGAAAUCUUCAGGGUAGAAAAAUGUAAUAAGCAAAGGGCAGGGGCAGGAACAGUAUAUUGAUCUCUUAUGUUUGUACAGUGCUUUAUUGCUCAAAAAAGUCACCAUCUUAUUUGAUCUCUAUUGUCAACUAUCUUGAAAUGAUUAAGACAGGUGUUAUUCCUGAUUUACAAUGAGAAAAGAAAGAAGUUCAGUGAUUUGUCCAAAGUUUCACUGCUAUUAAGUAAGGAGAUCAGACUUGAACCUGAAUAUUUUAACACAAAGCCGGUGUAGUAACUUGAUUUCCUUUCUUCUUUCUCCUUUCCCAAGGGGAACAUACAGUGAGACAUGGGUCUAGAGUGGUGAUCUGGCCAGGUCAUGGAAAAUCUUAAGUUUCAGUCUGAGGAAUUUGGACUUUAUCCUCCAGCCUAUGGGAGGUUUUUUGUUUCAUUUUGAGUUUUUGAAAGAUUUUGUGUAUUUAUUUAUUUGCAUUAUUGGAGAUUGAACCCAGGCCCUUAAGCAUGCUAGACAAGUGCUCUACCACUAUACCACAUCCCUAGCCCUUUUUGUUUUUUUCAGGAUCUCACUAAGUUGUCCAGGCUGGCUUACAAUGUGAUCUUCCUGCCUCAGCUCCCAAGUAACUGGGAUUACAAGCGUCCACCACUGCAACUGGCUUAGAAGAUAUCAAAUAAAGGAUAAAUAUUAAUGAUAUUUGUGAAGUGUGGUAUAAAUUUAAUUGCAUAUUAAUAUUUAUUUAAAAUAAACAUAUGGAGGGCUGGGGAUGUGGCUCAAGUGGUAGCGCGCUCGCCUGGCAUGCGUUCG